UACGUAUCAUGGCGGGCCACGCCGCGCUACCGCACUCUUCCGCUGGGCCCCAGAAAGUUUCGCUUCUGCCCAGCGGUGGACCCAAGAGCGAGUGCUGCCAUGGAGUCUGAUCUGUGCUGACCGGACCCAGGCAAGAGGUGCACAGCCCAGAGAGGCGGCCUGCAGCCAGUCGCCAUGGCAUCCCCCAUGGCAGAGAGCCAGCUGCAGAGAAUCAUCCGUGAUUUGCAAGAUGCUGUGACAGAGCUAAGCAGAGAAUUUAAGGAAGCUGGGGAGCCCAUUACGGACGACAGCACCAGCCUGCAUAAGUUUUCUUAUAAACUUGAGUAUCUCCUCCAAUUUGAUCAGAAGGAGAAGGCUACCCUCCUGGGCAACAGGAAGGACUACUGGGAUUACUUCUGUGCCUGCCUGGCCAAGGUGAAAGGAGCCAAUGACGGGAUCCGAUUCGUCAAGUCGAUUCCGGAGCUCCGAACAUCUCUGGGAAAAGGAAGGGCAUUUAUCCGCUACUCCUUGGUGCACCAGAGGUUGGCGGACACCUUACAGCAGUGCUUCAUGAACACCAAGGUGACCAGUGACUGGUACUAUGCAAGAAGCCCUUUUCUGAAACCGAAGCUGAGCUCUGACAUCGUGGGCCAGCUCUAUGAGCUAACCGAGGUUCAGUUUGACCUGGUGUCGAGAGGCUAUGACUUGGACGCUGCCUGGCCAACGUUUGCCAGGAGGACACUGGCCCCCGGCUCUUCUGCUUACCUGUGGAAACCCCCCAGCCGCAGCUCCAGCAUGAGCAGCUUGGUGAGCAGCUACCUACAGACUCAGGAGAUGGCCUCCAGCUUUGACGUGAGCAGUCCCAUAAACAACGAGACGCUGGAGGGCUUUGACGAGAUGCGGCUGGAGCUGGACCAGCUGGAGGUGCGGGAGAAGCGGCUGCAGGAGCAGAUGCAGCAGCUGGACAGAGAGAACCAGGAGCUGAGGGCGGCUGUGAGCCUCCAGGGCGAAAAGCUGCAGACGGAGAGGGAGAGGGGCCGCGCCGCUGCCGAGGACAAUGCCCGCCUCGCUUGCAUGGUGGCCGAGCUCCAGAAGCAGUGGGAGGUUACCCAGGCCACCCAGAAUGCCGUGAAGGAGUUCCAGGAGUGCCUGCAGGCCCUGGAGCUGGGGGCAGCAGAGAAGGAGGAGGAUUACCGCUCGGCCGUGCGGCGGCUGGAGUCUCUGCUGCAGCCCCUGGUGCAGGAGCUUGAGGCCGCACAGGACCCACUGGGCGGGGAGGACCGGCAUUCACCUAAUGUCGCAGCCCAGCUGGGCACGGCCGAGCAGAAGGCAGACGCGGCACCGGACACACAGGGGCAGCAAGAGCUCCUCCCCAGCGCCUCGGCCCUGGAGGUCCAGGAGCUGCGGGAGAAGCUUCGAGCCCUGGAAAGAGAGAGCACCAAGGCACGGGAGCUCAGCAGGCGGCAGAGUGGCCAGCUGGAGCAGUUGGCCAGGGAGCUGCAGCUGAAGGAGGAGGCCCGGGCCAGCCUGGAGCGCCUGCUGGAGGAGAUGGCCCCGCUCCGGGAAGAGCUGGCCGGGAAGGGGCAUGAGGCGGCCCAGCUCCGGCGGCAGCUACAGGAGUCCCUAGCCCACCUGAGCUCCCUGGAGCAGGAGCUGGCAGAGGUGAGGCAGGGGGAGCGGCAGCGGCGAGAGGAGAAGGAGCUAUUGCAGCAGGAGGCCGGUUUCCUGGCACGGCAGCCGCGGCUCCUCGAGGCCCAGCUGGCCCAGCUGAGCCGGCACGUGAGCGAGCUGCAGGAGCAGAAGCAGCAGCUCAUCCGGGACAAAGACCACCUCAGCCAGAAGGUGGGGGCGCUGGAGCGGCUUGCCGGGCAGCCGGGCCCAGAUCUGCCCACAGCAGGGGAGAAGCCCGAGGCCCGGGGCCCCCCAGGUUCCACCCUGCAGCAGGUCUUCAAGAAGCCGGAGGAGGAGCAGAGAAGCCCCGGGGAGAGCCAGACAGGUGAUAGCCAGAUGCAAGGGAACGGUCAGGAGGAGAAGCUCCAGCAGGCCAACAGAGAGCUGGAGAAGGAGCUGCAGAAUGUGCUGGAGCGCAACCAGCUCCUCGAGGGCAAGCUGCAGGCCCUGCAGGCUGAUUACCAGGCCCUGCAGCAGCGGGAGGCAGCCAUCCGGGGCUCCCUGGCCUCCCUGGAGGCUGAGCAGGCCAGCAUCCGGCACAUGGGGGACCAGAUGGAGGCCAGCCUCCUGGCUGUGAGGAAGGCCAAGGAGACCAUGAGGGCCCACGUGGCCGAGAAGGAGGCCGCCCUGCGGAACACAGAGGCCGAGCGUCAGCAGCUGCAGGAGGAGGUGGGGCUGUGCCGGCAGCUGGUAGAGGCCCGGGAGAGGGAGCUCGGGGCUCUUGAGCUCCAGUGCCGCCAGCAGACCCAGCUGAUCGAGACCCUUAUGGCGGAGAAAGGCCAGCAGGGGCUCGGCGCACCUGAAGACCGUGCCCACCGAGAGACAGCAGCCCAGCCGGCCCUGGGUCAGGCCCAGGUGGAGAACCAGCAGGGGGAGGCUGGGCGCCUGCCAGCUGAAGUGCUAGACCUUCAGGCCAAGCUCCAGGCAGCCCUGGGUGACCGGGAGAAGGUACAGGGCCAGCUGAGCGUGGCUGAGGCUGCUCUGAGGGAGCACAGAGCCCUGGUGCAGCAGCUGAAGGAGCAGAACGAAGCCCUCAAGAGGGCCCAGGGUCAGGAGCCGCUGCAGCGCUCAGAGCGGGAAGGGGCACCGCGGGAGGAGAGGACUGAGGAGGGGGAGCGAUCAUGGACCGAGAACCCACCAGUCCCAGAAGGCGGCUCCCUGGAAGCCCGGCUGGAACCGGCCGAGUCGCAGGGGCAGCUGCCUGGGCCUAGCGCAGCCACCGACGAGCCUGGCGUCCGUGUCAGCUCGCAGUUGGCCGAGAAAAAGCAGACCGAGGAGGCCCUGGCCUGCGCCAUGCGGGAGCUCCGUGACAUCAAGGAGGCAGCCUCGAGGCAGCGAGAGGGCCUGGAAGAGCAAGUGGCAGGACUGCAGCGAGAGAGGGACAGUGUGCAGGAGAGGCUGCAGGUGGCCGAGGAGGCGGCCUGCGCCCUGCCCGGCCUGCAGGCCCAGCUGGCCCAGGCCGAGCAGCGGGCCCAGAGCCUCCAGGAGACGGCACACGAGGAGCUCAAUGCCCUCAAGUUCCAGCUGAGCACCGAGAUCAUGGACCACCAGAGCCGACUGAAGACUGCCAGUGAAGAGUGCCAGAGCCUCAGGGACCAGCUUGAGGAGCGAGGCCGGCAGCUGCAGGCCGCCGAGGAGGCGGUGGAGAGGCUGAAGGCUGCCCAGGCAGAUCUGGGAGAGCAGCUGCGCGGCACCAGCAGGCGUCUUUCCGAGAGCCAGGCCGCCAUGCAGAAGAAGGAUGAGGAGGGGGCUGCCCUUCGCAACAGCCUGGACAGGACCCAGAAGGAACUUGAAAAAGCCAUGGCAAAGAUCCAAGAGUAUUACAACAGACUCUGCCAGGAGGUGACAAACCGGGAGAAGAAUGACCAGAAGAUGCUCGCGGACCUGGAUGACCUGACUAGAACCAAGCAGUACCUGGAGGAACGGCUGAUUGAGCUGCUCAGGGACAAGGAUGCUCUCUGGCAGAAAUCAGAUGCCCUGGAAUUCCAACAGAAGCUCAGUGCUGAGGAGAGGUGGCUCGGAGACCCAGAGGCGAGCCACUGUCAGGACUGCAAGCGAGAGUUCAGCUGGAUGGUGCGGCGACACCACUGCAGGGUCUGUGGCCGUAUCUUCUGUUAUUACUGCUGCAACAACUACGUCCUGACCAAGCGCAGUGGCAAGAAGGAGCGCUGCUGCCGAGCCUGCUUCCGGAAGUUCAGUGAUGGCCCUGCAUCGCCUGACAGCGCCAGCUCCGGCACCAGCCAGGGGGAGCCCAGCCCUGCACUGUCGCCAGCCCACACUGGGCCCCAGGCUGCCAGAGGCCAAGACGCUGACUGCAGGCCGCCAGACGAUGCCGUGUUUGACAUCAUCACAGAUGAGGAGCUGUGCCAGAUCCAGGAGUCCGGCUCCUCCUUGCCUGAAACACCCACCGAAACCGACUCCCUCGACCCAAACUUGCCCGAACAGCAUAGGAGCUAAAGCUGCGGAAGCCUCCAGAGGCCAGAGAAGCCACCCCAGGUCACGUGGCUUACCCCGGUCCUUCUCCAAGGAAGACCACGCGGAUGCCCAGUGAUACUGAGCCAAACUCGUAGAGACUGUCCCUGCGCCUUCGAGCCCCUUUGCCAGUAAUUGCUUCAUGACUGGCCCUUCGUGGUCACAGUGCUUUGCAGGGGCAAUGGUGGGUUUGUCACCAGCCAGGAGAUGUGAUGCCUGCAUCUCAGAAGCAACACGAGAACAGGAUAUGGUAAGGAUGGUUAAGGUUAGAAAGCCGCCUUGUGCUUGGGGUAACCCAACAUCUCCCCUUUGAUGAUGACUCCAGAGCUGGCAUGUACCUCGAGUCCAUCAGCUGCAGGAGCCCUCCGUUGGCCAGCAGAGAGAGAGGCUGCUCCCUGGAGGCCUAGCCCUCGCUCCGCUGUGUGAGCUUCGGCAGGUAUUCAUCUCUCUGAACAAGUUUCCUCACCUGAAAAAUGGGGAUGAUAGUGCGAGGCCUCCCACCGAACGGUUUUGGCAGUUACCCCAGACCGUGGAGGCCUGGGCCCCCGGAACGGGCCCUGCCUGGAGGGGCCCUUGGUGGGGAAGGUCAGAGCGAGCGGCCCCUCCACUCCUGGACCCCGUGCUCCCUGCCCUCCCGCGGCCCACAGGGGCAGCUCCAGCCCUUACUUCCUAUAGCCCCUGUGCCUCAGUCCCGAAUGCCUACUGAAGUCACCUGGGCUUCUGGCUCCCAGGCAGCCCCUGGAAUCGGGGUCCCCCUGUGCUCACCGCGUCUCAGACAGUGUGGCCGUCCAGGGCCUCGAACCGCGCCCCCGCACACCUGUACCCCAUCAUGUGCUGGUGUGUAUGAGCAGAGUCAAGGGGAGGAGCCCAGCAGGGUUGAGGCUGGGAACUUGCCCUUUAUGGGGCUGUUACAUGGACAGAACAAAGUCAAGACAUAACAGCGCUCUGUAACCUCUGUGCACUGUGCCCGCCUCUGUUGGCGGUAAUGCUGUGUAUGCAGGGGAGGGCUUGGGAAAAUAUCUACUCUCGGGUGUAGCAGAUAAGGGCCCAGAGAUACAGGGACAGUGAGUGACCGAGGAUACAGAGAAGGUAAAGGAAGAUCCCAUGGCUGUGCCGUCCUGGGCUUUCCUAAGCUGUAGAAGGACGGGCACAGCGUUUCUGCAGGGAGCCUAGAGAGAAGGCGUAUAACACAGGCCCGGGGUGGGACACGGCCUGAUGGGUGCCCGGUCUUGUUUGGCUCAGCCUGGCAGGCACCUGGUUAGGGGGAAGCCAGCGACCCCCACAGCUGCCCCUCUGUUGCCGUGGCCAGGCAGCCCCCAGCUUGGCCCUCCUAGUGCACUGUCCAGGCCUCCUGAGCAGUCCUGGAGGGAGGGUGUGGUCUGGUGUGGAUGCUGUACCAGGCUUGGGGAGGCUGAGUGGCUUGCCCAAGGAUGCACAGAGCUGGAGCAGUCACUGAGCCAGCAUCUGAGUGACCGCAGGGCCCCUGGCUGCCUGCCUUCUCACAUCCUCCUUUCCAGGUAGGGCCUCUGUCUCGUUUUGUGGAAGCCAGGGGCUGGUGGCCUCGCUAGCGGAAGUGCUGACCCUCAAGAUGAACCCACAAAGGAUGGUGACAGAAACUCCCACUUUGAGGCCAGUUUUUUUUUCCUGGUUUUUUUGUGUGUGUUUUUGUUUGUUUUGUAUUUGAAGCCAAUUUAAAGACGAUGUAAGUCAGCCUUGUCACCGUAGAAAGGGCAGAUUUUGUUGAGCAAGGAAGCUCUGGGUCCACGUGGCCUGGGGACCCUGGAAGCAACUGCUCUCAUGGGUGCAUUUAGGCACGAGCGGGAGACAGUAGGGGGGGGUCGUGUGGGCCUGCGCAGCUGGACCAGAGUGUAGGGGACGUGCCACACGACCCUGGAGGCACGGAGCACACCCUUCGCGCCUUGCCAGCUCACAAAGGACGCCCCGCGGCCUCGGUGUGUCGCUGGUUCUCAUGCCGCUGUUGCCGUCCUUGCGGCCCUCCCCACGCCAGCCCCCAGAGGUGGGUCCCGUUACGGCCCACGUUUCACCAAAACAAAAGAGGUUAAAGAGAUUACCAACUGGUCUAGCCAACGAGUGAGAGCUGAGCCAGGAUUCCCCUCCCGUCAGUCCGGACCCCAGAGCCACACUGCUAAGCCCCGUCUGGCCCACCGCCCUGUGCACUCGCUUUCACUGCUGGCGAUCGGUUCUCUCCAUUUUGGCAUACCACAUUAAAGUAGAAGGUGCCUGGGGCGCCUGGGUGGCUCAGUUGGUUAAGCGACUGCCUUCGGCUCAGGUCAUGAUCCUGGAGU